rnacentral:tRNA from 1 species
UCCCAGGUGGCUCAGUGGUAAAGAAUCUGUCUGUAAAGCAGGAGACACAGGUUUGAUUCCUGGGUCAGGAA